AUAUUGCACAAUGGGGGAAACCCUGAUGCAGCAACGCCGCGUGAAGGAUGAAGGUUUUCGGAUCGUAAACUUCUAUCAAUAGGGACGAAACAAAUGACGGUACCUAAAUAAGAAGCCCCGGCUAACUACGUUCCAGCAGCCGCGGUAAUACGUAGGGGGCAAGCGUUAUCCGGAAUUACUGGGUGUAAAGGGAGCGUAGGCGGCAUGGUAAGCCAGAUGUGAAAGCCCGAGGCUUAACUUCGAGGAUUGCAUUUGGAACUAUCAAGCUAGAGUACAGGAGAGGAAAGCGGAAUUCCUAGUGUAGCGGUGAAAUGCGUAGAUAUUAGGAAGAACACCAGUGGCGAAGGCGGCUUUCUGGACUGAAACUGACGCUGAGGCUCGAAAGCGUGGGGAGCGAACAG
rnacentral:rRNA from 1 species